GAUGAACGCUAGCUACAGGCUUAACACAUGCAAGUCGAGGGGAAACGAUAGAGAAAGCUUGCUUUUUCUAGGCGUCGACCGGCGCACGGGUGAGUAACGCGUAUCCAACCUGCCCAUCACUUGGGGAUAACCUUGCGAAAGUAAGACUAAUACCCAAUGACGUCUCUAGAAGACAUCUGAAAGAGACUAAAGAUUUAUCGGUGAUGGAUGGGGAUGCGUCUGAUUAGCUUGUUGGCGGGGUAACGGCCCACCAAGGCGACGAUCAGUAGGGGUUCUGAGAGGAAGGUCCCCCACAUUGGAACUGAGACACGGUCCAAACUCCUACGGGAGGCAGCAGUGAGGAAUAUUGGUCAAUGGACGAGAGUCUGAACCAGCCAAGUAGCGUGCAGGAUGACGGCCCUAUGGGUUGUAAACUGCUUUUAUAAGGGAAUAAAGUGAGUCUCGUGAGACUUUUUGCAUGUACCUUAUGAGUAAGGACCGGCUAAUUCCGUGCCAGCAGCCGCGGUAA
rnacentral:rRNA from 1 species